GUCGCAAGGCUGAAACUCAAAGGAAUUGACGGGGGCCCGCACAAGCGGUGGAGCAUGUGGUUCAAUUCGACGCAACGCGAAGAACCUUACCUGGGCUCGAACGGCAUUUCAACGUUCAUGGAAACAUGGAUAUCCCGCAAGGGAGUAUUGUCGAGGUGCUGCAUGGCUGUCGUCAGCUCGUGUCGUGAGAUGUUGGGUUAAGUCCCGCAACGAGCGCAACCCUUGCCCUGUUUUGCCAUCAUUAAGUUGGGAACUAUCAGGGGACCGCCAGCGAUAAGUUGGAGGAAGGUGGGGAUGACGUCAAGUCAUCAUGGCCUUUAUGUCCAGGGCUACACACGUGCUACAAUGGACGGUACAAAGCGCUGCGAAGCCGCGAGGUGGAGCUAAUCGCAAAAAACCGUUCUCAGUUCGGAUCGCAGGCUGCAACUCGCCUGCGUGAAGCUGGAAUCGCUAGUAAUGGCAGAUCAGCAUGCUGCCGUGAAUACGUUCCCGGGCCUUGUACACACCGCCCGUCACAUCACGAAAGUGGGUUGUACUAGAAGUCUGUGCGCUAACCAGCAAUGGAGGCCACGGCCCAAGGUAUGACUCAUGAUUGGGGUG
rnacentral:rRNA from 1 species